CAGUCGCCACGGUAAUCCGUAGGUGGCAAGCGUUGUCCGGAAUUAUUGGGCGUAAAGGGCUCGCAGGCGGUUUCUUAAGUCUGAUGUGAAAGCCCCCGGCUCAACCGGGGAGGGUCAUUGGAAACUGGGAAACUUGAGUGCAGAAGAGGAGAGUGGAAUUCACGUGUAGCGGUGAAAUGCGUAGAGAUGUGGAGGAACACCAGUGGCGAAGGCGACUCUCUGGUCUGUAACUGACGCUGAGGAGCGAAAGCGUGGGGAGCGAACAGGAUUAGAUACCCGUGUAGUCCCUGUCUCUUAUACA
rnacentral:rRNA from 1 species